rnacentral:rRNA from 1 species
CCUACGGGAGGCAGCAGUGAGGAAUAUUGGUCAAUGGACGCAAGUCUGAACCAGCCAUGCCGCGUGCAGGAAGACGGCUCUAUGAGUUGUAAACUGCUUUUGUACGAGGGUAAACGCAGAUACGUGUAUCUGUCUGAAAGUAUCGUACGAAUAAGGAUCGGCUAACUCCGUGCCAGCAGCCGCGGUAAUACGGAGGAUUCAAGCGUUAUCCGGAUUUAUUGGGUUUAAAGGGUGCGUAGGCGGUCGGAUAAGUUAGAGGUGAAAUCCCCAGGCUCAACUUCGGAAUUGCCUCUGAUACUGUUCGGAUAGAGAGUAGUUGCGGUAGGCGGAAUGUAAGGUGUAGGGGUGAAAUGCUUAGAGAUCA